ensembl:lncRNA
CUCCUGUCUGUUUGCUAAUAAACACUAUCUAAAUAAAACAAGAUGCAUCAUUACAAACAUUUAUCUUAACUAACAAUCUUCACACAUUAAACUUCCUCUUCUUCUUCUUCUCAGGAGGUGAAACACGUCAUUGUCACAAAUACACUGUGGGCAUGGACACAGUGUGAACUUGAGACUCAGUAUGAGUCUUAAUAUAGUUUGUUUGUUACAGCGUUAGAUUGGCUCAGUGAAUGGAAAAAAAAUAUUUGGUUACCUUGUAAUAAGUAAAGUGUCUUAUUAACACUUAUUCCAGUUUAACUGGAUCUUUGUCAGGCUGCUGUGACCUCUGACCUUUGACAUCUUUACUUAUGUGAACAUUUAAUUUUUGGCUGCCAAAAGUCACUAUAAGGAAGUGACAUCAUACUAACCACAGGAAGUAGAUGGAGCGUCUCUCUACUGAAGCACUACUUUAUAAACUCACACAGUUAUGAGCAUGAGAACAAGAGAUAGAAGAAGGAGAGAGAGACAGAGAAUCACGAUGGUUGAGUUCAAAUGGAUUCAAAUGUCUUUAUUUCUUAUAGCGCUGCUUCACUUUACAGCAGCAGCUGAAAAACUCCUCUCUGUCAGAGUUGGAGAUGACGUCACUUUGCCUUGUGAUAAUGUGAUUGAUGGUCAGCAAAGAUGUGAAUAUACUACAUGGCUGUUCAGUGCUUCAGGAAACACAGCAGCAGUAGCGCUGUUUGAACAUGGACAGAUCAAAAACACCAACUCUAAAUCAGACAGACAGAGUGUUACAGAGAACUGUUCUCUGGUUAUAAAGAAGGUCACAGUCGAGGAUGUUGGUCGUUACACCUGCAGACAGUUUAUAUCAGGACAACAACAAGGUCCAGACUCUCAGGUUGAUCUGUCUGUUAUUACCAGUGAGGACACAAUAACAACAACAACUGAAAACAGCAUACUAACGGGUACCCACACGACAGCGUCUACAAUCAAUGAUACUUCAACAGAAUUAAAAGGUAUUAACUCAAUUGCAAAACAUCUCAAUGUAACACAGACCAUCUGUGGUACAGUGAGAACAUGGCUUCCUGCCGUCUGGUGCUGUAUUUUUGGACCCAGCAGCCUACAUAAAUAUCUUCAUAAAUAGUCCAUCACCUGAGAAUCUGUAUCUCUCAAUGAGGUAGUCAUCUCCAACGGCCAAUGGGUCUGACCUGUCCCGGAAGACUCUUUCAUGACUAAAUGCUCGUCUGAGGAUUAGGUCUUCCUCAUCCAGUACAUCCUUCAAGAAAGGGCAAGCCAUUAUGAAGAGGGAACAGGUGUGAAUAAUAUAUAUAUAUAUAUAUAUAUAUAUAUAUAUAUAUAUUAUGGCGUGCCGCUUAGGAAAUUAAUCUUUGAAUAUAUGGAAUCAAGCUUUGAAUAUAUGGAAUGAAGCUUGGAUAUACUGAUAAAAAUGUGAGAAUACUGAAUGAAAUUCAAAACCUAGUUGUAUCCUUUUCAUCAAAGUGAUGAAAAGCCUUCUGAAUUAGCUGGUUUUACAAAAUGGCAUCAGUUGAAAUAUUACAAUGCUUUCUUGAACUGGAAAACUUUUUUGCUUUUUCUGUCAGGAUUUUGCCUGAGGCCUGUUGUAGUCGGCCUGCCACAAUUAAAAAGAACUUCUUCGUCAGGAGAACGGUAUUGGGCACGGGUACUAUGGGAAGGAUUUUGGCCCGUACAAGCACUUGCCAAUGAGUUAAUAAUGUCCUCAUUGCUCAGUAUUGCUGCCACAAGGUUCCUGACUGACUCAUUCUCACUUCUACAAGAUGGCAGCAGUGCCUUGAUGACCAGUCAAGUUUCAUUCCAUAUAUUCAAAGAUUCAUUCUAUAUAUUCAAAGAUUAAUUUCCUAAACGACAUGCCAUAAUAUAUAUACUAUAUUGCCCUUGUCACAGAUUUCAUUGAAAACACCUUUGCAACUUCAUCAGCUGUGUUUUGUAAUCUCAAUUACUGCAAUAAAACACAUAUUUAUGCGGUUUGACAAGCAGUCUUCAUUAGCAUAGCAAUAUAACACUUGUCCUGAGUAAUAAUACUACCACUUGAAUCAAUAUAAAAAGACUGUUGCAAUUACAAACAGCCAACAGAUUUAAAUGAAAUAAGAAAUGACAAUAUAUAUGUAAUAUUUUAAUGCAGGAUAACUAAAAUGAUGCAACAUACUUAGAAAGACCAUGGACAUGCUGUAAAACAAUUAAUUAAUUGCUCACAGGAUUGACGGUGGAAAUACAGGUGAAUCACUAGGAUUAAUCUUAGCCUGGCUGUUAGUCUGGUCUGCAGCAGGCUAGCUGCAGAGAAUAAAUCACUAUAGUAACUUGGCCGGGAUAAGUUUAACCUGCUUUCAUGCAACCGACUUGAGGCUAAAUUAAGCCAGGAUAACCAACAUAUCCCGGCUUAAUCCCUUAUCUUGGUUUUGUGCAAUACCCCUCAGGUGAGGAGACAAUAACAACAACAACAACAACAACAACAACAACAACAGAACUAACAACAACUGAAAACAGCAUAAAAUCAGGAACCAAAACGACAGUGUCUUCAAUCAAUGAUACUUCAACACAACUAAAAGGUAGUGACCCAACAUUCUCUCUCUCUCUCUCUCUCUCUCUCUCUCUCUCUCUCUCUCUCUCUCUCUCUCUCUCUUUGUUAAGAUGUAAAAACAUCACAGUCUCUCAGUUUCACCUCAGUGAAUUUUCCGACUUCUCAUUUAUUUAUACAUCAAACUACAAAUUACUGAAGUGUGAAUUGAAUUAUGGUGGAUUUAAAGCUUUAAUAUUACAUCACAAGACAAGUUUUGUACUGAACAGUUUGUUGAGUUGUGUUCAUCUGUUCAGGUGAGGACACAAUAACAACAACAACUGAAAACAGCAUACUAACGGGUACCCACACGACAGCGUCUACAAUCAAUGAUACUUCAACAGAAUUAAAAGGUAUUAACUCAAUUGCAAAACAUCUCAAUGUAACACAGACCAUUUGUGGUACAGUGAGAACAUGGCUUCCUGCCGUCUGGUGCUGUAUUUUUGGACCCAGCAGCCUACAUAAAUAUCUUAGUCCAUCACCUGAGAAUCUGUAUCUCUCAAUGAGAUAGUCAUCUCCAACAGCCAAUGGGUCUGACCUGUCCCGGAAGACUCUUUCAUGACUAAAUGCUCGUCUGAGGAUUAGGGCUUCCUCAUCCAGUACAUCCUUCAAGAAAGGGCAAGCCAUUAUGAAGAGGGAACAGGUGUGAAUAAUAUAUAUAUAUAUUUAUAUAUAUAUAUAUAUAUUAUGGCGUGCCGUUUAGGAAAUUAAUCUUUGUAUAUAUGGAAUGAAGCUUUGAAUAUAUGGAAUGAAGCUUGG